rnacentral:rRNA from 1 species
AGUGAACGCUGGCGGUAGGCCUAACACAUGCAAGUCGAACGGCAGCACAGUAAGAGCUUGCUCUUACGGGUGGCGAGUGGCGGACGGGUGAGGAAUACAUCGGAAUCUACUUUUUCGUGGGGGAUAACGUAGGGAAACUUACGCUAAUACCGCAUACGACCUACGGGUGAAAGCAGGGGAUCUUCGGACCUUGCGCGAUUGAAUGAGCCGAUGUCGGAUUAGCUAGUUGGCGGGGUAAAGGCCCACCAAGGCGACGAUCCGUAGCUGGCCUGAGAGGCUGAUCAGCCACACUGGAACUGAGACACGGUCCAGACUCCUACGGGAGGCAGCAGUGGGGAAUAUUGGACAAUGGGCGCAAGCCUGAUCCAGCCAUACCGCGUGGGUGAAGAAGGCCUUCGGGUUGUAAAGCCCUUUUGUUGGGAAAGAAAAGCAGCAGGUUAAUACCCCGCUGUUCUGACGGUACCCAAAGAAUAAGCACCGGCUAACUUCGUG